CAAGUGGCGGACGGGUGAGUAACACGUAAGAAUUUGCCUUUAGGAGGGGGACAACAACUGGAAACGGUUGCUAAUACCCCAUAUGCUUUCGAGUGAAACGGAUUUAUCCGCCUAGAGAGAAGCUUGCGGCUGAUUAGCUUGUUGGUGAGGUAAUGGCUCACCAAGGCGACGAUCAGUAUCUGGUUUGAGAGGAUGAUCAGACACACUGAAACUGAGACACGGUCCAG
rnacentral:rRNA from 1 species